rnacentral:rRNA from 1 species
UACGUAGGGUGCGAGCGUUAAUCGGAAUUACUGGGCGUAAAGCGUGCGCAGGCGGUUCGUUAAGUCCGAUGUGAAAGCCCCGAGCUUAACUUGGGAAUGGCAUUGGAAACUGGCGGGCUGGAGUGUGGCAGAGGGGGGUGGAAUUCCACGUGUAGCAGUGAAAUGCGUAGAGACGUGGAGGAACACCGAUGGCGAAGGCAGCCCCCUGGGCCAACACUGACGCUCAGGCACGAAAGCCAGGGGAGCAAACGGG